GUCUACGGCCACAUCACCCUGAAUGCACCCGAUCUCCUCUGAUCUGGGAAGCUAAGUAGAGUCGGACCUGGUUAGUACUUGGAUGGGAGAAACUAGUUAAGGAAAAGAUAUGACAGGAAAUUUCAGUAGCUCCAUUUG
rnacentral:rRNA from 1 species